rnacentral:rRNA from 1 species
CCCUUAGAUGUUCUGGGCCGCACGCGCGCUACAAUGAUGAAUUCAACGAGUUUAUAACCUUGGUUGAAAAGCCUGGGUAAUCUUUUGAACUUUCGUCGUGAUGGGGCUAGACCCUUGCAAUUAUUGGUCUCCAACGAGGAAUUCCUAGUAAACGCAAGUCAUCAGCUUGCAUUGAUUACGUCCCUGCCCUUUGUACACACCGCCCGUCGCACCUAUCGAUUGAAUGGUCCGGUGAAAUCUUCGGAUUGAGACUUUGAUUUCUUCACGGAAAACGCUGUUUUAAAAAGUUGAUUAAACCUUACCAUUUAGAGGAAGGUGAAGUCGUAACA